UACGUAGGGCGCAAGCGUUGUCCGGAAUUACUGGGCGUAAAGAGCUCGUAGGUGGUUUGUCGCGUUGUUCGUGAAAACUCACAGCUUAACUGUGGGCGUGCGGGCGAUACGGGCAGACUGGAGUACUGCAGGGGAGACUGGAAUUCCUGGUGUAGCGGUGGAAUGCGCAGAUAUCAGGAGGAACACCGGUGGCGAAGGCGGGUCUCUGGGCCGAUACUGACGCUGAGGAGCGAAAGCGUGGGGAGCGAACAGG
rnacentral:rRNA from 1 species